rnacentral:rRNA from 1 species
UACGAAGGGGGCUAGCGUUGCUCGGAAUCACUGGGCGUAAAGCGCACGUAGGCGGACUCUUAAGUCGGUGGUGAAAUCCUGGAGCUCAACUCCAGAACUGCCUUCGAUACUGAGAGUCUCGAGUCCGGGAGAGGUGAGUGGAACUGCGAGUGUAGAGGUGAAAUUCGUAGAUAUUCGCAAGAACACCAGUGGCGAAGGCGGCUCACUGGCCCGGUACUGAUGCUGAGGAGCGAAAGCGUGGGGAGGCGAACAGG